CUUAAAGCCCUAAAUGGCGGCUUCAAUAUCAGUCCCACUGAGCAUGAAAUUCAUUUACUUAAAUAAAAUCUGAAUCUCAGCCCAAACCUGGGAGAUUCAAAACCUGAGAGCGGUCUUACCAAAGACGCCCGUAUGUCUGGUGAAGUCAGUUGGAUGCAAGCAGUUUGUGCUGGUACCAGGGCCCCAGCUACUGAUGAAGUGGCAGGAGUCCACAGAAGCCUACUUCGAAGUUCCCGGGGCUUCCAGGGGAGAUUGACGAGAUUCCUGGGGAGGCGAUUCAUGACAGCUGAGUUCCUUUUGGAGGAUCCGUCUUCAGGCAGUCUGAUCCCCCAGGAAAGCAGCUGGAAAACAAGAGCAUGUGAAGGAAGCGCAGCAGCUCCUCGCCAGCCAGACAGCCAGCCCCGCACCGCAGGAGUCGACAUGCACGGCAGCCUAGACGCCAUCAGUUAAACUUAUAUGUAGGCUUGUUGAGGAAAACGACUUUCAAACACAAGGCAAAAGAAAAACAUGAAACCAAGGGUUCCAACAUUCAUCAUCCAGUUUCAGAGACACCCUUGAAGGAAUGCUACAGCCUCUUUCUUACCCAUUCAAACCAGUCGCUCUGCUGCAUACCCACAUCACAGGAGGCCCUCAGCCCCGACACACAGGCUCACUCAGCCCGGGGACAUCAGCACCUGUGCCAGCUCCGCAAGGUAUCCACCAUGCGGCCAGAACUGAGGCCCAGCAAUAGCUGAAAUGUCCUUUAAAUUAACAUGUACAACACACAACCCCCAAGAGCUGACAUCCCCAAAGCCCCACCACAAAUAGCUGACUCCUACUUAUACCUGCAGGAGCAGGUAGUGACCUCUGCAAUUCUAAACCGUCCACUUUGGGCAAAAUUCAUCAAGCUAUGGAUAUGAAAAAAGGCCCCCAAGGAUAUGAUUCAUAGUCCAGCGUUUGAGUGAGCACUCCAGUCAGAACGAACUCUGCAUUGUGAACAUCUGAACAGGGUGGAAACAGACACUUUAGUUAGAGAUCCACUGCUGUGCGUGCACACAUACUCACACAGGAAAAGAAAAUGAGUUUCUCAGUGACCGAACGCUGAAUGUGAUACAGGGCAAUGACGGACUCGCUGGCGGACUCCACUCUACCCACCGAGUUCUGCUUGUGCUCCAUGAGCUUCCGGAAAGAUGGCUGCUUGGAUAACACCUUUCCUCCUGCACACUCUACGAUUGCCUUCAUAGUGGAAAGACUUGGGCAGAUUCCAGUAAAGAAAAGUUCUCUAGAGAUGUGCUGUGGUUCACAGGAGGAAGACCUCCAGUGGCAAUGUCCAAGAAGGAAGCCAAGAGGUAAAUGGGAUGCAGGGUGAGCCCAGCUCCCCUGGAGGCGCACUUCCCACCAAAUCACCUGGUAGUUCCCUUGAGCAGGUCCGUGUGUUAUGCUUACUUGGACUGAUUUACUUUUCCCUUAAAGUGUACCUUAAAGAGUGGAGAAACGUGUGCCCGUUUUAAGGAUUCUUCCAAGCUGAAAGAGAAAAGUACUUCUGCCUCAGCAUCUCGGAGAAUGUAGUUCUGCUCAUCUGGAAAACAGAACAGCACAUACUCUGAAAAGUGUGGACACGUGAAGUGUGGCAAGUGUGACCCACAAAAUUCUCGCCCAUAUUCAGGUACAUAAUAUUACAGCUACAUUUACCUGUACAGCCUUCGGAUAUUUAAAUGUCACCAUUAUAUUUCAUUUACUUCCCUCUAAAAACAGCCAGACCAAAAAGACAGACAGGUAUUUUUUCUCCUAGAUCAGUGGUAAUUAACCAUUUGGGGUCAUAAACUCUUGAAAAAAACGGGCUGGGUGUGGUGGUUCAUGCCUGUAAUUCCAGCACUUUGGGAAGCCGGGGAAGGAAAGCUGCUUGAUGCCAGGAGUUCGAGAACAGCCUGGGCAACACAGUGAGACUUCAUCUCUACAGAAAAAUUUUAAAAUCAGCUUGGCAUGGUGGCAUGUGCCUGUAGUCCCAGCUACUCGGGGGACUGAAGUGGGAGGAUCGCUUGAGUCUGGGAAGUUCGAGGCUGUGGUGAGCCAUCAUUGCACCACAGCACCCCAGCCUGGGCAACAAAGUGAGAUCUGGUCUCAAAAUAAUAGUAAUUUUUUUUUUUUUAACAACAAAAAUGUAAAAAAAGAAAAAAAAAAUUACUGAAAAAUAUGAACCCUCUUCCCAUAGCUGCUCCUCCCCUCUUUACCCCCCGACUAUUUUAGGAAGUUCACCAACUUUCCAAGCCCGCAGAUCUCAGGUUAAAAUCUCCAGUCCUAGAAAGACAAGCUUCAAAUAAUCCCAUCCAAGUGUAUAUUAUAUAUAUAUAUGUUAUAUAUAUACACUAACUCCUCAAGGACUUGUAGGACAUUGGAGUCAUUUGGCUCAUAAUCAAUUAUGUGAAUUACCAAACUUUAAAGAUUUACCAAACACACAUUCAAGUAUAUAAAAGUAUACAGCAAUUUAUAAAGGAUAGUUUUAUCAAUUUUUAAAGACUUCUGACAAUUAUUAAUAAUUGACAGAUUUUCAGUUUUCAUAGCAACAUUUUAAGAAAUGUGUCAAAAGGUAAAGAUCACAAAAUGUUUCAAUCUUCCUAUAAAUAUGCCUCAUAUUCAGAAAACCAUUUCUCCUCCGCCGCCAUUUCCUACCAACCAUACAGCAUAAUAAGGCAGCUCAAACCCAAUAAUAUAUACAUCAAAAGCAGAAAACAAGGAAAAGUGAUUUGGGAUUGGCAAACUGGGGUUGACAAGAUGAUACAUAUUUUAGGAUUUGUGGGCUAUGUAUUAUUUCUCCUGCAUAUUCCUCUUCUCUUUUUUAAGCAAUAUUUAAAAAAUGUAAAAACCAUUUUCAGCGUAUGGACCAGUUUGCUGACUGCUGGGCAGGAGCAACCACAUCAUGACAGAAAUGCAGGGAUCUGUUCACCAACGGCCAGAAAUACAAAAUCAAUCCCUGAGUCAACCAGCAGAUAGAAAGGCUGCUUUUUAGGUGAAAGGAGAAAAAGAAUGUCUAAAAUUUGGAAAAACAAAAAAUGAUGAAUUAAAAAAGGAACAAAAAAAGUACUGUUACACAUGAGAUGGUAUAUUUGAAGUGUUACUUUCAAAGCUGAUAUGCCUUCUGAAGAACUUGUGUGAGAUCACCAAGAAUAGUUAAUGUUUAUGAUAGAGAAAACACCACCGGGCGCGGUGGCUCACGCCUAUAAUCCCAGCACUUUGGGAGGCCGAGGUGGGCGGAUCUCUUGAGGUCAGGAGUUCAAGACCAGCCUGGCCAACAUGGUGAAACCCUGUCUCUACUAAAAAAUACAAAAAAAUUUAGCCAGGCGUCGUCGUGGUGGGCGCCUGCAGUCCCAGCUACUAGGGAGGCUGAGGCAGGAGAAUGGCUUGAACCCAGGAGGCAGAGGUUGUAGUAAGCCAAUGGCACCACUCUACUCCAGCCUGAGCAACAGACUGGGUGAGACUCUGUCUUAAAAAGAAAAGAAAGUAAUAUUGAAAAAUACAGUAAUACAGCUAAGACGAUCCUGUCACAGAUGAGACAUUGAGAUUUUGGUUUUUUCAAACAGGGUUAUGUUACCUUAGUAGUAGCAAUGUAAAGACUCAACCUGAACAUUAAACUUUUCAUGGAAGUACAAAAGAAAUGAGUAUCCUAGAAAUUGAUUAUAAUAUUGAUGUCUCAAAUUUUAUGUAAGUUACACAUAAAUAUAAAAUCCCAAAAACAUGCACCUACCAAAACAGGUGGAGAAAAGAGUGUUUUCAACAAAUGAUGCUGGAACAACUGCACAUCCAUAUGCAAUAAAAGGAAGCUGGACACAGACUUUACCCUCUUUUAAAAAAAACUGACCCAAAAAUGGAACACAGACCUAAAUGUAAAAUGCAAAACUAUGAAACUCCUAGAAGAUAACACAGGAGAGAAUCUAAGGGACCUUGAGUUUGGCAAUGACUUUUUAGAUACAACACCAAAGACACAAUCCAUGAAAGAAAUAAGAAGUAACCUGGACCUCACCUAUUAGAAUGGCCAAAACCCAGAGCACUAACACCAGCAUAUGCUGAGGAGGAUGUGGAGCAACAGGAGCUCCCAUUCACUGCAGGUGGGAAUGCAAAAUGGCACAGGCACUUCAGAAGACAGCCUGGCGGUUUCUUACAAAGCUAAACAUACUCUUACCAUAUGAUCAAGCAAUUGCAACCUUGUUGAUUUACCAAAAGGAGUUGAAAACUUACGUCCACACUAAAACCUGUACAUGGAUGUUUUAGCAGCUUUACUGCUAACUGCGAAAAUUUAGAAUCAGCUAAGAUGUCCUUGUGUAGGUGAGGGGCUGAACAGAUACAUUCUGACAAUGGAAUAUUAUUUAGUGCUAAAAAGAAAUGCUUUAUGAAGCCAUGAAAAGACAUGGAGGAAGCUGGGACGUAUAUUGCUAAGCAAAGGAAGCAAAUCUGAAAAUCCUAUAUACUGUAUGAUUCCCAAUAUGUAACAUUCUGGAAAGGGCAAGACUAUAGAAAGAAUAAAAGAUCAGUGGUUGCCAGGGGUCAGCAGGCAGGAAGGAAUGAGUGGGUGGAGCACAGAGGAUUUUCAGGGCAGUGGAACAACUCCAUAUGACGCUGUAAAGCAAAAUCAUGUCCUUACACAUUUGUUAAAACCCAAUGACUGUUCAAGGCCAAGAGUGAGCCCUAAUGUAACUAUGGACUUUGGGUGACUGGCCAAGAGUGAGCCCUAAUGUAACUAUGGACUCUGGGUGACUAGCCAAGAGUGAGCCCUAAUGUAACUAUGGACUUCAGGUGACUGGCCAACAGGGAGCCCUAAUGUAACUAUGGACUUCGGGUGACUGGCCAAGAGUAAGCCCUAAUGUAACUAUGGACUUUGGGUGACUAUGACCCAAAUGUCAAUGUAGCUUCAUUAACAGUUAAUAAACAUUUCACUGUGGUGUGGGAUGGUGACUGUAGUGGGGGUGGCGGUGUGUGUGCAUGGGUAUGGGCUGGGGUAUAUGGGAACUCACUGUACUUUCUGUAAUUUUGCUGUGAACUUAAAACUGCCCUAAAAAUUGUCUAUUUUUAAAAAACAAUAAUUAUAAACUGGAAAAAUUCUCUUAGGAAAUCCUAAAAUAUGGAAGAUAAAAUAUGAAAUGUUUUCUCAGUAUUAAAUGUUUAUAACAACCACUUUCUAACCCUCAGAGAGCAACACAGCAAAUACUUAUUAACAGUGCCAUAAAGAAAUAAAAGCUAGUCAACCAAAACUUCCCAUUAAAUAGGAACUGUAAACUUUAUAUACAGAUAAAACAACCACAUUUUCACAAACUGAAACUUGAAAAAUUAAGUAAAUUGGUCAUUCACUAAAUUGGCUGCUUGGCAAACUAAUUUUCAAAGAAUUAGCAUGUUCUUGGUUGGAAAAGAAAAAGAAUAAGCAAAGUCAGAAAGUAACAAAAAAGAUCUCUAAAGCUGGGUGUUGCCCAAAAGCAGCCGAUGGAGCCAACCAGAGGCUGGAACAUUACAGACCCGCUUUCCCCACCACCCAAGCUGGUGUAUGCCAUGCUCCCACAGCAGAAGCUAAAAAAGUACACUUACUAUUUCUAUUAACGAAUAGACUAUCUCCUUCUAAACUGUAUAACAUUAUAUGAAAUUGGAAGCUAAAAUGUUUGUAGUAAUUGUUUCUACUAUGUUCUUCUUCUGCCUUCAUUGUUAAGUUUUAUGUUUCAUUAAUACCUUUUUAGAGUCAAAAAAUUUUCAAAAUUUCAAUUAAAAAAAUUUCUAAAUACCA
rnacentral:lncRNA from 1 species